GUCUAGAAAUAUACCAUACUGAGAGCCCUUGAUCUCCUCUUAGAAGGUACGCAGGGUUGGCCCUGGUUAGUACUCGCUGGAAAACUAGAUUUUUUUUUAUU
rnacentral:rRNA from 1 species